AGAAGAAGAGCCAAGCGGGAGUGUUUUGUGCAUGAAGCUGGCUGCAGCCCAGGCAGGGAAAUGGACAAGAAUGAGGAACUGGUCCAAACAAACGGCAGUAAGACACUGCUUAUCCGCCAUUUACCGGCUGAACUCAGCCAGGAUGAGAAAAAGGACCUCUUAAAGUAUUUCGGAGCAGAAACGGUCAGGGUCUUCUCAAACACGGGUCGUUUGAAACAUGCAGCCUUUGCAUCCUUUAGAAGUGAAAAGUCGGCAGCAAAGGCUCUCAGCAGACUCCAUCAGUUAGAGAUUCUCGAUCAUACACUCGUUGUGGAGUUUGCAAAGGGACAAGAUCAUGUCACAGUAUUGAAGGAUCCACCAGUGUCAUACAGUGGUAAACAGGGCAGGGAAGAGCAGAAGAAACCGGAAACCAAGCAACCACACAUUCCCCUUAUAGAGACCGGCAUUGCACCUAGCCUUGGGUUGAAUUUUCCAUUGAAUCCCACUUUGAAAUAUUUAUACCCCCCACCUUCUAAUAGCAUUCUGACAAAUAUAACACAUGUCCUCAUCAGUGUGCCAAAGUUUUAUGUUCAAGUACUACAUCUGAUGAACAAGAUGAAUUUACCAUGUCCUUUUGGCCCAGUCACUACCAGACCCCCCAUGUUUGACGUGUUGCCUCCUGCGCCUCCCUUCCCCAUGCCUCCUCCCUUUCCUCCUGAUUAUCCCCCGCUACCAGAGGAGGAGAUGGAGCUGUCCAGUGGACAAGAGUCGGAGUAUGAGAGUGGGGAAGACGAAGACAAGGAGAGGAUUGCUCGUCUGAUGGGCCUGGUCAACCAAGCAUGCAAGAGACCCUUGAGACCAAAAACAGCUUCAAAGAGAAAGAAGCCCAAGAUCAAGGAUCUACUCUAUGCUCCCAAACCUGACUCUCAGAGUGCUCCAGUGCUGCAGCCCUCCGACGUGUUUGAGCAGCCCCACCCCGCUGGGCAGAAGAAAAUUGAAUUCCACAUUUUGGUUCCAGAGGUGGCAGCCUUAGUGGAAGGAAGUGUGCCAAGUCAACCUGAUGAUGAAGGCAGAGAAGUGGUUGAGAGGGAGCUCAGCCCCAGCAGCAGUCGGGAAGUGGCAGAGGCCGAGGGUUUUGGGAAGCUUUACCCGAGCGCCCAGCCGUCCCAACAGCAAGAGGAGCACAGCGACGAGGAGCAGGAUCUCCCCUCAGACGUCAUCUCCAGAAAGGAGCUGGAGAAAGGACGCCUGUCAAGAGAUGAGAUAAAAAGGAUGUCUGUGUUUAAAAAUUAUGAACCGGGUGAGCCAACCUGCCGACUGUACGUGAAGAAUAUUGCAAAGCAAGUGGAAGAGAAAGUAGGACUUGAAGUACAUCUAUGGGAGAUACGUCAACCCCUUGUCAGAAGCCGAGAGAAACAUGUUUGACAUUGUGUUAAUGAAGGAGGGGCGGAUGAAAGGGCAGGCCUUCGUAGGACUCCCCAGUGAGCAUAGUGCAGAGAAAGCCCUGCGGGAAACCAACGGCUACGUUCUCUAUGACAAACCCCUCGUCGUCCAAUUUGCUAGAUCUGCCAGGCCAAAAGAAGACACCACAGUAACCAAGAGAGGACCAAAACAACGGUGAACUCAACAGAUGCCAAGACUUGAUAUUGUGGCCCAGCAGAACCAUUUGUAUCCUUGUUCUGGCAUAUAUCCUUUGCAGAGAAAAAAA